UAAGAAUAAUAAAAUAGGAUUUAAACAAAAGAUGGCUUAUGUGGGAUACCUUGGCACUUAGAGACGAAGAAGGGCGGAGUUACUACCGAAAUGCUUUGGGGAAUGAGAAACACGUUUAGAUCCAAAGAUUCCCGAAUAGGUAAACCUAUAAAGCUUUAAUUAAAUAAAUAGAUUGAUAGUAGUAAACUUGGUGAACUGAAACAUCUUAGUAACCAAAGGAAAAGAAAGCAACAGCGAUUUUCUUAUUAGCGGCGAGCUAACUGAAAAUAGCCUAAACCUUAUAGGGGUAGAGGGAAUAUUAAAAAACGAACAAAUUUAAAUUUUGAAAAUGCUGAACACAUUACUAUAAAAGGUUGAAAGUCCUGUAAAAAGAUAAAUUUGUUAAAAAAAUAUUUCCCGAGUAGCAUAGAGCACGUGAAAUUCUGUGUGAAUCAGCGAGGACCACCUCGUAAGGCUAAAUACUACUAAGUGACCGAUAGUGAACUAGUACCGUGAGGGAAAGGUGAAAAGAACCUUGAAAAAGGAGUGAAAUAGAUUAUGAAAGCAUAAGCUUACAAGCAGUGGGAGGUUUAUUUAAAGAUUGACCGCGUGCCUGUUGAAGAAUGUGCCGGCGACUUAUAAGUAGUGGCUUGGUUAAGGUUUUUGUUCUGGAGCCAUAGAGAAAUCGAGUUUGAAUAAAGCAUUUGUCACUAUUUAUAGACCCGAACCCGUAUGAUCUAACUAUGACCAGGAUGAAGCUUGAGUAAUACUAAGUGGAAGACCGAACCCACCAAUGUUGAAAAAUUGGGGGAUGAGUUGUAGUUAGGGGAGAAAUUCCAAUCGAAUACGGAGCUAGCUGGAUCUCUUCGAAAUGCGUUGAGGCGCAGCGGUUAAUUAUGCUAAACUCAGGGGUAAAGCACUGUUUCGAUACGGGCGAUGAAAAUUGUACCAAAUUGAUGCAAACUCUGAAUACUGAGUCAUGUUUCAAUUAACCAGUAAGGCAGUGGGGGAUAAGCUUCAUUGCCAAGAGGGAAACAGCCCAGAUCACCAUUUAAGGCCCCUAAAUAAUUGCUAAGUGAAAAAGGAUGUAAUCAUACAUAGACAACCAGGAGGUUUGCUUAGAAGCAGCAAUCCUUUAAAAAGUGCGUAAUAGCUUACUGGUCAAGUGUUUUUGCGCCGAAAAUGAACGGGACUAAGCAAUUUGCCGAAGAUGUGAGAUUCUUUAUAAGAAUCGGUAGAAGAGCGUUCUGUAUUAGUUAGAAGCAAUAGUGAAAACAGUUGUGGACUAAUCAGAAGUGAGAAUGUCGGCUUAAGUAACGAAAAUGUUGGUGAGAAUCCAAUACCCCGAAAACCUAAGGGUUCCUUCGCAAGGUUCGUCCGCGAAGGGUUAGUCAGGUCCUAAAACGAGGUUUAAAAACGUAGUUGAUGGCAAACAGGUUAAUAUUCCUGUACUACUUUUUGUUAGAUUUAGAGUGACGAAGCUGGCUAAAUCAGCCAAAGACUGGUUGUUUUGGUUUAAUCUUUUAAGGUGUAGAGAAAUAUUAUAAUAAAAAAUAUUUUGAGCUGAGAAGAGAGUACGAGAGAUAUUACGGUAUUACAAGUGAUUGAUGUCAUACUUCCAAGAAAAACUCUUAAAAUUACUGGAAAAAGUACCUGUACCACAAACUGACACAGGUAGGUAGGUAGAAAAUACUAAGGGGCGCGAGAUAACUCUUUCUAAGGAACUCGGCAAAAUAAUUCUGUAACUUCGGAAGAAAGAAUGCCUCUCGUUACAACAGUGAUUGAGAGGUCGCAGUAAUAAGACCCAGGCGACUGUUUACCAAAAACACAGGUCUCCGCUAAGUUGAAAAACGAUGUAUGGGGGCUGACGCCUGCCCAGUGCCGGAAGGUUAAAGAAGUUGGUUAGUGUUUGCGAAGCUGAUGACUGAAGCCCUGGUGAACGGCGGCCGUAACUAUAACGGUCCUAAGGUAGCGAAAUUCCUUGUCAGGUAAGUUCUGACCCGCACGAAAGGCGUAACGAUCUGGGUACUGUCUCAGAAAGAGACUCGGUGAAAUAGAACUGACUGUGAAGAUGCGGUCAUCUCGCACUUGGACAGAAAGACCCUAUGAAGCUUUACUGUAAUUUGAUAUUGUUUUUGGAUUUUCCUUGCGCAGCAUAGGUGGGAGGCGAUGAACCUCUUUUUUGGAAGUAGGUGAGCCGUAAUAUGAGAUACCACUCUGGGAAGAUUAGAAGUCUAAUAGUAUACUAUAAUCUAGAUACUUGACAGUUUCAGAUGGGCAGUUUUACUGGGGCGGUAGCCUCCUAAAAAGUAACGGAGGCGUACAAAGGUUUUCUCAUUCUAGACGGAAAUUAGUUGUCGAGUGUAAAGGCAUAAGAAAGCUUGACUGUGAGACUUACAAGUCGAGCAGAGACGAAAGUCGGUCUUAGUGAUCCGACGGUUCUGAGUGGAAAGGCCGUCGCUCAACGGAUAAAAGUUACUCUAGGGAUAACAGGCUGAUCUCCCCCAAGAGUCCACAUCGACGGGGAGGUUUGGCACCUCGAUGUCGGCUCAUCGCAUCCUGGAGCGGUAGUACGUUCCAAGGGUUGGGCUGUUCGCCCAUUAAAGCGGUACGUGAGCUGGGUUCAGAACGUCGAGAGACAGUUCGGUCCAUAUCCGGUGUGAGUGUUGGAGUAUUGAAAAGAUCUUUCCUUAGUACGAGAGGACCGGGAAGGGCACACCUCUGAUCUGCCAGUUUUUGUGCCAACAGAAUACGCUGGGUAGUCACGUGUGGAGGAGAUAACUGCUGAAAGCAUAUAAGUAGGAAGCCCACUUUAAAAUGAGUACUCUCUUAAGGUCACAAUUAGACUAAUUGUUUGAUAGGUAUCAGGUGUACAAUCAGUAAUGAUUUUAGCUGAGAUAUACUAAUAGACCGUGCGUUUAAACCUA
rnacentral:rRNA from 1 species